CAGCCUCUGCCACAACACACUCUGCAUCAACUGAGACUCAAACAUCCACAACUCCUUCAACAUCUCCUGCCAGUACAAGCUCUUCUAAAACUGAGACUCAAACAGCACCUAUAGCACUGCCUUCUAGUACAAGCUCUUCUACAACUGAGACUCAAACAGCAGAACCUACAA